UCUCCGUAGGUGAACCUGCGGAGGGAUCAUUACUGAGUGAGGGCUUCGGUCCGACCUCCAACCCUUUGUGAACCAAACUUGUUGCUUCGGGGGCGACCCUGCCGCUUCGGCGGUGCGGCGCCCCCGGAGGCCAUUAAACACUGCAUCAUUGCGUCGGAGUUAAAGGAAAUUAAACAAAACCUUCAACAACGGAUCCCUUGGUUUCAGCAUCGAAGAAGAACGCAGC
rnacentral:misc_RNA from 1 species